rnacentral:rRNA from 1 species
UACGUAGGGAGCUAGCGUUGUCCGGAAUUAUUGGGCGUAAAGCGCGUGUAGGCGGCUGGGUAGGUCCGCUGUGAAAACUCGAGGCUCAACCUCGAGACGUCGGCGGAAACCAUCCAGCUAGAGUCCGGAAGAGGAGAGUGGAAUUCCUGGUGUAGCGGUGAAAUGCGCAGAUAUCAGGAAGAACACCCGUCGCGAAAGCGGCUCUCUGGGACGGUACUGACGCUGAGACGCGAAAGCGUGGGGAGCGAACAGG